ensembl:lncRNA
UGUGUGUGUGUGUGUGUGUGUGUGCGUGGGUGUGUGCCCCUGUAGUGGUGUCGUCUAUCAGCUCAGAGUCUGACGGACAGAUGUCUCUCGUCAGGGUGGAAACUGUGUCUUCCAGGCUCCCGUCCUCUGUAAUUAAGUGAUACUCUACCCUCUGCGUGUGCGUGUGUUGCAGUGCUUGAUGGGGAGCUCGUCACCUCUCUCACAUUCAGGGAGGAGUCGGGCAGCAGAGAGCAAAGGUAAACUACCGAGAGACGAUACCUGCGUGUGAAAAGGGACACCUGUACUAACCGGCACCCGUCUCCUGCCUCCGGCCUUCCAGCAGCAGACGGGCGGAGCAGGUGAAGCGGGCGUGGACGAGGAAGCACAGGAAGCGAGGCGUCUGUCCGACCGGCCGUCGCUGUGCGAGCAGCAGAAGAAGCUGGAGGACAAGCGGAGUCUUCUCCAGGAGUUGGGGCGCAUCGAGGCCGAUCUUCGGGAGUCGGUGCGUCCGGACAUCGAGCGGCAGCGUGAAGCCGAGUUCCUCCGUCGCCAUGAGAGCAACCUGCUGAGGACUCACCUGUGUUACCUGAGCCUCGGGCAGCGCGUUGCCAAACCCUGGGUCACCAGCUACUUCAGGAAGUUCCCCAUGCACAUCUACUGCCUCCCAGUCCAGGCGGCCAAUCAGAGGAGCCGGAAGCGGGUCCUAACGAAGAGGAGAUGAUGCGUUGAGAUUAUUUCUGUUUUUAAUGUUUUUUCAAUCAAAAAAUAAAUCCAACAUCCUCCCAAUAA